rnacentral:rRNA from 1 species
GAUGAACGCUGGCGGCGUGCUUAACACAUGCAAGUCGAACGAAGCACCUCUCCCGAAGAUUGACACAGCUUGCUGUAGAUUGAUUCAUUUGAGGUGACUGAGUGGCGGACGGGUGAGUAACGCGUGGGUAACCUGCCUCAUAGAGGGGGACAACAGUUGGGAACGACUGCUAAUACCGCAUAGUAAGAAGAAUUCGCAUGUUUUCUUCUUGAAAGAUUUAUCGCUAUGAGAUGGACCCGCGUCUGAUUAGCUAGUUGGUAAGGUAACGGCUUACCAAGGCGACGAUCAGUAGCCGGCUUGAGAGAGUGAACGGCCACAUUGGGACUGAGACACGGCCCAAACUCCUACGGGAGGCAGCAGUGGGGAAUAUUGCACAAUGGGGGAAACCCUGAUGCAGCGACGCCGCGUGAGUGAAGAAGUAUUUCGGUAUGUAAAGCUCUAUCAGCAGGGAAGAUAAUGACGGUACCUGACUAAGAAGCCCCGGCUAACUACGUG